UCUACCCCAUCUCCUAUCUCCCUAUCCAAGCAUCCCCUCCCCUUCCCCGCCGGCCAUCCCCUCCCCUCCCUCAGCUCCCAUGCGGAGGAUGGGCCUUUCCCUCUCCUCCCGAGGAGUAGUACGGCGGCGGAGGCCGCCCACGGAGUGCUGCGAUGCGGGGGAGGCUGUCGUGCAGGGCGUGAAGAGUAGGGCAACGGAGACCUUUGUGGCAUGCUGCAGCACGAGGGAGAUGGCCGCGCAGGCAAGCGCGGGUGGCGGCGGGCCGGCCAGCAGCGCCGGUUCGAGGAGCAGGCACACGGCAGGAGCAGAUGCCGCAGCAGGGACGAGCAAGCGCUCCGGAGGCCAGGUGCGCGGGGACCGGUGGGCGGCGGCGCCGUGGUCUCCUCCCCUACCGGCGCCUUCUACCAGAUGUGGUUGUUCAUGGAUCCAUCCCCAGCAACUCGCUGCCGUCCAUCGCCGUCUUUGGAGGCCAGCUGCGCGGGGUGGAUCUUGCAAGGUGCUGGUGGAACCGUGAGGGUUAGCUGUGGAUGCGGUUUGGUGCUGGGUUGAUCUACGAGUCCUCCGAGCAGUAGGAAGCAGAUCUACGAGGCCAGGUUAAAGUUUUGGUUUGAACGGUUUUCUGCAUGACUUCAUUGAUCUAUUAUAUUGAACACACAAACUAUACUGUUAGUCAUGGUUCUCGAUAAUUAUUUUGCUUGUCGUAUAACUUUGAUUCAUGUGUGUCCUACAGUUCCAUUUUACAUUGCAGUAUUAUAUUAUUUGGUUAACCAUUUGGUGACUAAUAGGUUAAUUUAAUUGCAUUAGUUACAUUCGACUGAACUAACAUGACAGAUUUUGUUCAGUGAAGAACAAUGUUAGUCCUAUGCUUCAUGUUUGUCGCACUCUUUGCUUUGAUAUGUAGUUUGACAUGUAGAAAUGUCUUGAUGAUAACAAAUUCAAGCAGUUAACUUUCCAGUUUUAAGAAUAAACUAGUCCUAGUAAUCUAAGAUUUGCUUUUGCGACAUGUUUUAGGAUCUUGACAAACUGACAGUCAGCUGCUAGGUCAAAAGAAGGAAAGGUGCCCUACAUUGCAGAACUUGAAAGAAAAGUGCAGACUCCAGUCAGAAGCGACUACACUAUCAGCUCAGUUGGCCAUGGUUGCAGUUUAUUGAUGAUAACUAACAAGGUCCAUGAGAGAGCUUGUCGACACUGCUGGAUGGCUUAUCUACCAUGGUGUAUUGCUUUUAAUGCAAGAUCAAAAUUUGAAGAUAGGCAACUAAGGAGUCGUUCCAUUACUUUUUUUUAAUGAAAUGUCACUGCAUAUUGUCUUGUAUCUUGUGAAAAUUGGUGUUGUAAUUCGAAAAAUAUGUUGUAAUUGUUUAUUGUAAUUUUUGGGAUGGAAAUUUUGUUUCAAUAAGUGGGCUAUAAAAAACAGUGGGUUGUUUUUUUAUA